UGCCCCGCCCAUCCUAGGUCCUGCAGCCGACAGGGCAUGGGGAGGAGGAGGGAGGGGGUGCCCUGCCCUGGACAGUUGGGUGCCCCCGCCCACAUACCUGCCUUCUGGGCUGGCUUGGGGGGAUGGGGGGAUGUGGCUGCUCUGCCACCCAGCAGGCGCUUGAUCAGUCCCUCCUCUGCCCCAAGGUCCCAGCAACCCUGCCCCCACAGCUGUCUUGAUGGCAAAUGAAGCAGCCAGGAGACCCCAGAGACAUCAAGUAGGGUCCUCUCAGGGCUCCAAGGCCACAGGAGAAGGGAGCUGUGCCACCUGGAGCUGGGGUCACAUCCCAGGACGGCUGCCAUGUGACCACACUUCCUUCCCCCGGGCUGUCGUGAGGGCUGUGUUCAGAUGUUUGUAAAAGGUGUGGCACGGCACCUGCCCACACAUGCCGCAGCCAUCACUGCUGGCCAGCACCGCGUCCUCCCCACCUCCUCGGUCAUCUUUCAGGGGAAGCUGGAGCUGCCAGUGUGUGGGUGCCGCCCUGAGGCCAUGUGCAGCAUCCUGGGGCCAACAUCCACCCCUGCACCCCCACAGCAGCAGGAGGGCCCCCGGGGACCAGCCCAGUGUCACUGGCAGAGCGAUGCGGCCGCCACCCGUGGAGAAGCCCCUGCUGCGAGUCACGGGGGCGCUGCCCUCCCGGCCAGGGGUGAAUGAAGCCCUGGCGGCCGCGUGAAUGGGCCACUGGGCUGGCUGCACCCGGCUGGACACUCCCGCUGGCGUCACCUCACAGGAAUCCCGCCUGCUCCGGGGCCUCUGCCCAUUGCCCAAAGAAAGGUACGCAGGAGGGAAGGCGCCGGGGCGGGCAGGAGUCGGGGGGAAGGGAAAUCUCGGCAUUAGAACCCCCGCUGCCUGCUGCCCAGUCACUCUCUGCCUUCACGGAACACAGGCUGUAGAUUCCAGGGACACGGAACUUGGGCCAGCCCCGACACGUGGCGACGCUGCCGGCCCCUUGGCAGCCACCCUGGGCACACGAGGGCGAGCGGCACCUUGUGCUGUGGAUGCUUCCUUCCACAUAGUGUCCCCAAACCGGGUCACGGGACAGCGCCAUUCCUACUUUAGCAAAAAGGACACUGAGGCCCAGAGAGGGCACGCCACCUGUCCACCAUCACACAGCCACGAGGUGGACUCAAGUCCAAGUCCCCUGGCCCCCUGAGCACCUCCUGGCCCGACAGAGCUUCCAGUCCUGCUGUGGGUGAGGGGUGCUCCUGAUCAGAAGUGGAGGUGGGGCAUGGAGGGGAGGCCAAUGCCUGCUGCGAUGCCAUCCAGGAGGAUGCCCCGAGAGGCUCAUGAGGGCUGUGAUGGGGUGGGGCCCCCAAGCUGGGUAGGGUGGGCAGAAGAGAGCCCGCACCAGGCCCUGGGGGCAGGCAAGGAGAAGGCCGUCAUGCUGUCUGCUGGCUGGCUCACUCAGUGCCAGGCAGUCGCUCCCUGUCCCCGUGGUCCACCCCUCCCUGUGAAGGGCUCAGCGGGCCCAGCCCCAGCUCUCACGAAAGGCCAGGCUCUCUAAUCCUGAGCUUACAGACAGCUGGCAGUGGCCGCAGGACAAUGAGUCCCCCGACUAUAAAAAACCACAUUACGGAAGGAGUGGAGCCGGCCCCGCAUUCCAUGGGGCGUCUGCAGAGCGUCACUCACCCUGAAGACACGGUCAACCGGGCAAGGCCUGGAGCACAGCCCACCGCCAGCCUCGGGCUCCCACGUGCCCACGCGACACCCUUGCCAGCCACCCCCAUCAUCCAUGCCAGCAGAGCUGACAUCAGUGGCCCUGGAGGAAGAUGCCCAUCUCCAAUGCUGGUCUGCCAAGGUCUUGGGCCAUGGCCUCCCAGGACACCACACGACUAGGCUCUCGCUGGGCCUCCCUGGGUUCAUGCUCCACCCCUGCCCGCAGCCUCCCCGCUCCCACCCAGCCCCCACAGUCUUGGGAAUGCGCAAAGCUCCCUCUGCACACCAGGUCUGCCUGCCAUCUCCACUCAGGAGGCUGCCGUCCCCACCCUCCACACCCCUACAUCUCCACUCAGGAGGCUGCCACCCCCACCCUCCACACCCCUACAUCUCCACUCAGGAGGCUGCCACCCCCACCCUCCACACCCCUGGCCACCUAGAACACCCCGGACCUUUCCAGACUCAGGCCACAUAACGACACCUUUCAUGAUGCUUUUCUUGGCCUCUGGCCCCCUUCAGUCCCCUGACCCCGACAGCCCCUCUGUGGUGCGCUCACGGAUGCCUCCUCUGGGGCAGAGCCCCACCUGCUGCUGUCCCGGCCGCCAGGCUGAGCACCUUGCCAGCAGGGAGCCCAAGCCGUCUGUGGUCUCAGUGUCCACCCAAGCGCCCAUAACCAGGAGACCCCCAGUGCUCAGCCUUGGGUGGAAAGACAUAGGUGAGAGGCUGCUGACCGCCCCCCUGCCCCUUCCCCAAGACAGGGUGCGCAUGUUUCCUGUUUGCCUGUGUGUUUGGGGAAAGGGGGGAGAACAGGGCCUGCCCCAUUUUGCGGUACCACACAGGUGUGACUGCAGCAAAGCCGGCCACUCUGUUUCCCCUAUCCCUGCCCUCGGAGGCUGCUCCUUCUCCAGAGGCUGGUCCACUCCCUCCCCGGAAUCAAAGCCAGCCAGUGAUGGCUCUGGCAUAAAGUGGCACGAGGGAUGCUCUCCCAGCCCUGCCCCAAGACCAUCAGAGGCCUGGCAGCUUCUGCUUCUGCCCUCUUGGAACCUAUUGAGAAGCCCAAGGUGUCCUAUCGGAGGGUGAGGUUCCUGGAGGGAAACUGAGGCAACCCAGCCAACAGCCGGCACAGCGCUUUCCUGGGCCUUUGGGCCCCACCAUAGCCAAAUGCCACUGCCCGAGGGACCCCAGGCAGCACCUCAUGGGGCAGAGAUGAGCUGUCCUCACUGAGCCCCGUCCAGAUCCCUGGCCCACAGAAUUGCCAGCCAGGGAACAGCCACCAGCCGCUAGGUGUGGCAAGGUAAAUAGGAGUUAGCUCAGCUGUUAGAGCGUAAGGGGUGGAGUGGGGUGAAAAGGGCACGUCAGACAUCUUUGAGCACAAACGGGUGUCCCAAAGGGCUGUGUAGGAGCCCUGUUGGGGGGGAUAGGAGGCAUGAGGGUAAGAGGAAAGAGCAUGGGAGACGCAGAGAAGCAGGACAGAGUCAGCACAACACAAGCAGAAGGCCAGGACCUGCGGGGCUCAGGGCGGCGCCAACUCUGGACAGAGGCUGGGGUUGCUGAGCGGCGGGCAAACCUCACCCACGUUACAGACGCACCUGCUUCCUGAGAAACACGUCUCCAGUGAAAAAGCUGUUGCACUAACUCCAGGACUCACCGGAUUGAGAAAGAAAAUGCUCCUCCACGCAGACAUUUAAUGAGCCAAUUAGAUCUAAGAUGGUUUCCAUCUGAAUAUUCUUGAGUGCCCUCGUGGCUUCCACGCAGACAUUCAAUGAGCCAAUUAGAUCUAGGACGGUUUCCGUUUGAAUAAUCUUGAGUGCCCUCGUGGCUGCCCCUUGAUGUCAGAAUCUUAAGUGCUCAUAAUCCCAGCUCCUCAGAGAACAAACAUCGGGGUGACCAGGGUGUCCUGCAUGGCUCAUGCCAGAUAGGCGUGGGCAGGACUGAGAAGUCUUGAUAACAUGACCCUCAGCCCUCUCCAUCCCCCAAGGUGGCAGCUUCUUGUACACUUGGGAGUGGCCCCACCUGGUGGGUCUCGGGCGGAGGAAGGCCUGGAGCCUGGCAGUGGGUGUUGGCUCCCACCCCUCCUCUGCCCUCCUGAAGCAGCCCCAGUCCAGGGGCACCACUCUAGAAGGCCCCCCUUCCCGGGCCGGCCCUCCUUCCCUUUUCCAUCACCACCUUGUUAACAUUCCUGCAAUCCACAGGGUUCCCAUCCCCCAACCAGUCAGCUGCUGCCUGGGGCAGCCUCGCCCUCCAUCUUCUGGACCUCAACCAGAACCUUCUCUGGCCCCUGCCAGCCUCUUCCUCCAAGCUCAUCUGCACCCCGGGGUCAACAUUAGCAUAUAAAACACUCCCCCUGCUCAAGCACCUUCAAUGGCUCCCUGCUGCUCCGAGACAAUGGUGCAAACACUGGUCCAAUUAGCCAGCUCUCUACAACCCAGCCCUGUCUCCUCCUCCUCCUCUACCCUCACGCCUCCUAUCCCCACCUAACAGGGCUCCUACACAGCCCUUCGGGACACCCAUUCGUGCUCAAAGAUGUCUGAAGUGCCCUUUUCACCCCCCUCCACCCCUUACCCUCUGACAGCUGAGCUAACUCCUAUUCACCCUGCAGAAGUCCCCUGAGGCUCACCCCUCCAGAGAGCUUCCCCCCAGUGCCCCAGCCUGGGGUCUGUGCCCCUCCUGGCUCCCCUCGCACCCUCUGAGGACUGAAAAUGCCUCAUUCAGUCUCACGCAGCCUCUGAGGCCGAACCAUCUGAUCCCUAGGCCCAGCGCCCGGCAAUGAGAAACCGCUGAAGGCGCUCCCUGCUGCCUGACAGAGGCCAGGGUUCCAGCCAGCUCUGUCCAGGCUGCCCCCGCAGGCUGCAGUGGCCAAAGGUGGCCGGCAGGGGGCUCUCCAGAGCUGGGCAGAUGCCGCGUUCAUGUAGCAAGAGCCUCCCUAGUUCAGGUUUUCAUUCUUUACUCUUUUUUUUUGAGACAGAGCCUGGCUCUGUUGCCUUGGUUGGACUGCAAUGGCGGGAUCUCAGCUCACUGCAACCUCCAACUCCCAGGUUCAAGUGAUUUUCCCACCUCAGCCUCUGGAGUAGCUGGGAUUACAGGCACCUGCCACCACACCUGCCUAAUUUUUGUAUUUUUAGUAGAGAUAGGGUUUCACCAUGUUGACCAGGCUGGUCUCGAACUCCUGACCUCAGGUGAUCCUCCCACCUCCGCCUCCCAAAGUGCUGGGAUUACAGGCAUGAGCCACUGUGACUGGCCACAUUCUUAAUCAUUUUUAAAAGUCAAAAUGAGUUUCAAAUGCUCCCGGUGGCCCCCAGAGGCUGGGCGAAGAGGCAGAUAUGGUCCUUGGACUAGACCCAGCUGGAGAGAGCAGGCAGCUGUCCACAGACCUCCGCUCCCCAGGCACCAAGACCAGCCAGGCCUGUCUCCACCCGACCCCACCAGGGCCCCCGUGAUGCACACCCACGCCCAGCGUCUCAGGAUGAGUGAGGCGCAGCCAUCGCCUUGGGCCAGGGUCACCCUUUCUGCUCUCUGCAGAGCUGGCUGUGGUGGGGCCAAGUGAGGCGAUUCUGGGGAUCGGGGGCCAGGCUAGGACCUGUCCCUGGGGAAGGAGGGAAUGUGAAUUUCCUACACCCAAGAACUUCCAGGGCCUUCCCACGACUCCAGCCCAGCUGUGACCUCCAGACUGAAUGUGACGACACCCACAGACUUAUUGGGAUUCAGAUUCUGGAUAUUUCUCCAUCCCAGUGGCCCCGGUUGUUGGUCAAAUGGUGGCCCACAAAAUGUGUUCACAUACCAGGGCCUGUGAACAGGAGCCUCUGCAGAUGGAAUUGAUGGUCUCGGGAUGGGGUCACCCUGGGUCAUCCAGGUGGGCCCUAAGUCCACAGACUGCAAGACUGAAGAGGAGGCCCAUGCAGGAGCCAGCAGGCGCAGGGACUGGAGUGGCACAGCCACGAGCCGAGGCCGCCAGGGCCACUAGCGGCUGGAAGGGGCAGGAAGGACCUUCCCAUGGGUCCUCCCCAAGAGCUUUUGGAAAAAGCCAACCCUGAGGACCCCUUGAUUUGGGACUUCUGGCCUCCAGGCUGCAGAAGGAACCUGUUCUGGACACUUGGCCCUCUCUUGGGGGUCAUCUGCUACAGAAGCCCCAGGAAGCUGAUGCCGCUGCCCCUGGACCACCCGAGUUGCCGGCUCCCUCCCGCCAGAGGCCCCAGGCUGCCCACACAUGCCGCAGACGCCCCGUCCCUCCAGCCACACGGCCUGCACUCAGUGCUGCGUUGAGAACACCAUCGCGUGGCGGAGUCUAAGACCCAGCCUAAACCACCCAGGGUGGUGGCCACGCCUGUCUCCAGGAGGAUACAGCCCAGCAGGGCCUGCCGGGGACAGGGAUGGGUGGCUCGGCCAAGCCUUCCAGCCUGGCCUCCAGAACCCACCUGCCCUACGGGGUGUGCAGCCAUCGGUGACCGAAUUCCCAGAGCCCUUCCUCUCUCAGGCCAGGGUACCACCGGGGACGAGAACAUUCAGCACUGAGCUGCAAAGGCAGGUUCUGUGGGGCCAGCCCCUGUUUGCAGGUUCUGUGGGGCCAGCCCAGUUUGCAGGCUUGUGGGUUCUGUGGGGCCAGCCCGGUUUGCAGGUUUGCAGGUUCUGUGGGGCCAGCCCAGUUUGCGGGCUUGUGGGUUCUGUGGGGCCAGCCCCCAUUUGCAGGUUCUGUGGGGCCAGCCUGGUUUGCAGGUUUGCAGGUGGGGCUGCUCUAACAGCUUGCCCCGGAGAGGCAGCAGUGACACAGACGGCCCCACAAGAGUGCCCCCGGCUUUUGAGCAGCCCAGGAAAACGGCACAGUAGCCUCGCCCUGGGGAGAAGCACAGCCCCAGGUGUGGGAUUGUUUACCAGCGGAAAAGGGGCCACCCACACCUCGGCAGGGAUGUGAACCUCCACGGCCUCAGAGGAAAAACAUCCAGUGUCCCCAUUCCAUUAUGGCCCAGACAAAAUAAGCAGGUCUCCAAGGAAACGGGUCCUCCUGCUGUGCCCCGGCUUAGAGGGUGAGCACGCGGCGCCACCCCGGCCGGCUGCCUGCCCGUGCCAAGGAAUUCCACAGACAGAAAGGAAGGUAUGGGUCCCCCUCCUCCAGGCACCCCCAAACCUAGCACACAACAGACAGGACAGGCUGCCCGUGCCAGGACAACUACAGCCUGCAGCUCUGGCUUCCCACACGACAAAGGACAGGGACGCUGGGCCCACCCACUGUGCCCAGCCACCGCCAACCCACUCCCCAGUGGCUCCCGAAGCCCCAGUACUGAACCUCUGGCCUGCCGCAGGGAGGGCCUGGGGGCAGAUGGGACCCCGACAGGUGUCCUAGCUCUCCCGGGAACCACCCCCCACCCCACCCCGCUGCACCAGCUCACAGCUGGCGUAGGCCGCAGCCUUGCCCAUCCAUACUGGCUCUCCAAUCCCAGAGGGGCCAAGGCCCUUUGGACUCUGGCUAUGGCCCCUGCCAGCCCCAAGGGCCGAGACUCCGGGCCAGCUCUGCCCCACGUGCCUCCUGCAGCUGGCUGUGUAUGCCCCCAGUCCGUGGAGCCUAAGCCUCACUGCCCUGUUCCCCUUUCAAGGGUUAGAUGUCGUCUCCUCAAAGGCCCCAGCAGGGCUGGCUCCUGCCACAAGGCCCACUGGGUUUGCUCCCAGCGCCCAGCGCAGAAGGUGGCAGAACAUGGCACCCAGACGGGCUUGCGCCCGUGCCCCAGCUGGCCUUUGCAGGAUGAGGUCCCAGGCGGCCAGUGUGGCCCGUGUCCUUGCCUGCGUUUCCUCCACCCAGACACAUCCAGGCUCCACCAGAGCCCCCACCAGUGUGAGCCAAGUGCAGUCCCUCAGUCCUCUCAGCCCCAAACCAGGCCCACAGGAGGUCCCUCUGCCCGCCUUCAGCCCGGCCAAUGAGCAGCUGCCCCUCCAGAGAGAAGAGAGGAGGCGUCACACCCUCCGCGGGGACUGCAGGUCCACAGGGCAACCUGGCGCAUCUGCACCCAACAUGGAAGAAAGUGGAGGGGGUUGCUGGAACAACCUGCUCCUGCAGCAGCCCCGGCGGGCACCUCAGACUCUCUGGGGAGGGCCGGGUGCCUUCCUGCUCCCAUUUCCCUCACUCCCCUGGCUGAGGACAGCUCUCAGGCCUUCACAGGCCCAGAGGACUCAGGCCAUCCCCACCCACGGCCUGGCCACCUCACUGGGGACAUUAGGGCCGCUCUGGGCGGCCCACAGGUGGGGUGGCUGGCAUGUCCACCAGGAAUUCUUGGUCCAGGAAUGUGUUUCUGCGGUGCUUAUGCAAGAGCUCACACUCCCCACUGCUAAAUGCGUUUGUUCUUUGUUUUUUCCUUUCCAUGAAAUCUGGAUAUGAGCGGCUCUGAGGCUAUGUGGCCUCAGGCCCCGCCUCGUAUCCCUGAACUCUCUCCCUCCAGUGAGGAAGAGCAGAGGUAGCCAAGGCCCAGCCUCGACACUCCACCCUGAGGUUCCUGCAGGCAGAGGACCUCGGACAUCGAGCAUGGGGAGACUCCGUCCACCUGCCGGCGCAUUCUGGAAAUGCCAGCAGGCCAGCCUGCAAGUGGGGUCGGCCGGCCCGAAGCCAGCAGUUCUCGGGGGAAGUGGGGGGUGCUGCUGCUGCCCAGUGACCCCACACAUCCGUACUUACAGUACCCACACCUGGUCCCACCUUCAAAGAUGAAUCCGCUUGGCACGGCCCCGUAGCGCUGGAGGUCGGACAGCUUCCACUGCCCCGUGACAGCCAGGGGGAUGUCCCUGGCCAAGACGAGGACAUCAUUGCAGAGGUGCAGGGUAGCCGGGCCGCUCUCCAACUUGGUGCCUGGAGCCACUGUCACAUGGAACCUAUGCACUGCGGGCAGGCGGGGCGAGAGGGCAUCAUGGGUGGGCAGUGUGAGAGGACAUCAUGGGCGGGUGGGGUGAGAGGGCAUCACGGUCAGGCUGGGCGAGAGGGCAUCAUGGGCAGGCGGGGUGAGAGGGCAUCAUGGGCAGGCGGGGUGAGAGGGCAUCAUGGGCAGGCGGGGUGAGAGGGCAUCACGGGCGGGUGAGGUGAAAGGGCAUCACGGGCAGGUGGGGUGAGAGGGCAUCAUGGCCAGGUGGGGCGAGAGGGCAUCAUGGGCAGGUGGGGCGAGAGGGCAUCAUGAGAGGAGGCAACAGGGGCCACUGUGGACAGGUGGGGUGAGAAGGCAUCUCAGGAGGAGGCAGCAGGGGCAGGGGCCAGGCUGGGGCAGGUGGGGGCAGCCGCCCAGGUGUCAGCCGGGGAGGCAGCGACGGCAGGAUGAGCAAAUGGCACUCCUCACAGCCACGAGGGGGACUGGUGGCUGCACUUCUCUCCUUGCCAUCCUCCCAGGAACUAUCUUUGUUCAGGGGCAAGGAAGUCUCAGAGGGGCCUGACCUCGGACCUCCACCUCCCUCCCCUCCACCACGGAGGUGCUAGGGAGGACAGGGCAGCUGAGUGCCCUGGCUGGGCUCCCACCCCCAGCACCUCCUCUCCAGGAAGGCUCUCUCUCCACAGCUGUGUGGCUCCAUCACAGAAGGGGAAACUGAGGCUCAGGGAACCCCCAGCCUCCAGUUCGGGUGUGGAGAGUCUGGAGUCUGCAUCGAGGCCCCAGCCUGGCCACGGGAACCUCAGGGCACCACCGGCCCUCUCUCCAUCCAGGUCAGCACGCCAGGCAGACAGCAGCCUCCCCACCAGGGGCCCCACCUGCUCCAUCUCCAACCCCCAGAGCCAAAGGGACCCCUGUUCCCAUCCCACCUCCCCCUUCUCUGCCUCCUCCACCUGCUCCAAGCUGUGGCCUCAGGCGCAUCCUUGUCAGGCCACGUUCUAUCAAGAUGAAACUGCCUGGGCGGUGCCCAGCAGCCUCUGUGCCAUGGCCCUGCGCCAGCGGAUGAAGGAAGCAGACCCAUGCCGCUGAGCCAGGCUGGAGGGAACCCCCAACGGGAGAACUUUCUGGAAAGAUGCAGUUCUUCCCUCCUAAUGUCUCCUUCCCCUGCGCCCUCCUGCAGAGCCAACCGCACCUCCGCCCACUAAGCUCCCAGCUUCUCUUUCCCCACUCAAUGGAGCAGGAGGGGCUGCUGCCUUGGGGCCAAGACUGGGGGAGCGGGACACUCACCUCCAAGGCCAAAGAACUCAGCCAUCAAGGGCCAGGAUAUUUUAAUCAGUAUUUUAAAAAGUAAAGUUAUGCAGAGUCCAUGCUGAUCAAAAUAGCAAGUUUUUUUGUGUUUGUUUUUUUGAGACAGGGUCUCACUCUGUCGCCCAGGCUGGAGGGCAGUGGCACAACCUCAGGUCACCGCAACUUCCA